CCCCUCACCAUGCUGACGUCUUCCAUUGUGCAGCCACAUAAUCCUUUGUGCAGCGCCUCGUUCUCAUUCAGUUACUCUCAGAACAAGGCGCCAUGCAAAGGAUUAUGUCACCGGAAGUAGUACUGUAUGUGAGCGCCACUGCGCUUUGCAGCACCACUACAUAGAGUGCUCCUCUCACUGACCACCAAUGAAAGAGGUGCCCCUUCCGAAAGUGCAGUGGGGGCUGGAUAAAUGGCCUCAGGGGACUGCAUGUAGCCUAUGGGCUGUAGUUUGGGGACUGCAACAGCAAAGAUAACAGUGCUUAGCCUAGGACUUGUGGAAGCCUUUGCUCUUUGGCUCCCUUGAAACCUGGCCUCUGAGAUCUGUAACCUCCAGACAGAAGAUAGGAGAAGUCUAGGUUCUUGCUUCCAGCUCUGUGAAGGACUCCACCUUUACUUAUUAUUACAAUCUCCAAAUUCCUGUUGGUGCCUAAGGAGUGUCUGGGGACGAAGGCAUUUAAGCAUCUGUACCCUGUGUCAAGUUCACUGUCUCCACCAGGACUUAAUGAAGGCAUACAAUGUCAUCCACAAAUGUGAUCGUCUGGAGGACCCCUCCAUCUUUAGGGAAUCGCUGGUUGAUUUGGACUUUGUGUUGAGUUCUCACCUUUAGGUUUAGUGCGCCAGACUGCAGGGACCAAUUUUUAAGAAUAUAAUGAAGAAGUGGAAUCUGAAAACUCCCUUCCUCCUUCAAGAAGCUGACAACUUUCUAAAUUUAGUUUGUAAAAGGUAAAAUUCUUAUACAAAAGGUUUGGGGCCUACUUUGCCCUGUGGCUGUCUGAGUAGUUUAUAGGGUUAUCAGGUGGCAUUUUGUUGCUCAAGUGAAGAAAAAAUAUUGGAAAAUAUCCCAGAAUAGAGCCAAUCUGAAUUCUUUUGUGGGGGGAGAGGUUUGUGAGUGAAGAAGAAAAGAAAGGUACAACAGAAUCUUCACAUCUACAUUCUACUCUCUUCACGGUUUCAUUCUCUGAAGAAAGUCACAGGAAUAAGAAAAUCUUCAUCAUCUAAAUAACAUUUCCCAGAAUUUUCCCAACUAGAGCAAGCCUCAUAAACUACAAAUCCUCGCUUGAGGAGAAAAGGAGAAAGGAGCUCACACUGGCCUCACUUGGUUGCUUCCUAGUUUAGCCAAUUAUUUUUGCUAACUAGGUGCUAAGCUCUAUUUUUCCUGUAUUGCUAAAGAACUGCAAGUGCUUUUUAGCACCAUUUAAAUUCAGUACCUUGGGACAAAGUCCUGCCAUCUCACCCUAGUUAUUAUGGCUCUGGUGUUUCCAUGCCACCCAAGUAUUUUCACAAACCUUCAAGAUAUUAAAAAAGGGAUGAUACAAGCCUAUUUGUAGUGCCAGUAGCCAUGUUAGCUCCUGCUUGACCAGCAUAAUUGGAAUAAGAUUAGGCAGAAAAUUUUAUUGCUAUUUCUGCAGGUAGUUCUAAUUAUAGGGUGCAUUCUUAGAGGGCAUAGAUGAUGAAGCCAUUGAAUAGGGAAGAAACAAGUCCAUGAAUCAUCUCCAUUAUUAAAUUACUGUUCAAACUAUUAAGUCCUUUAUCCUGACCAAAAUUAAUCCAAAAGUUGGAUUUAGAGUAUUGAAACUAUUGAGAAUAAUUUCUUUCAGCCCUUUUCUGGGAUAAAAUUAAAGUCCCUCGAGGACAGUUCUGAUUUUUGGAUGCAGUCAAAAAUCUUCUGGAAUCAAGCCUAAUGAAAAAGAUGAAUAAUCAAAACUAAAUAAUAAACUUUAUACAAAUA
rnacentral:lncRNA from 1 species